CCUACGGGAGGCAGCAGUGGGGAAUAUUGCACAAUGGGGGAAACUCUGAUGCAGCGACGCCGCGUGAGUGAAGAAGUAUUUCGGUACGUAAAGCUCUAUCAGCAGGGAAGAAAAAAAGUCCUUUGGACUUUGGACGGUACCUGACUAAGAAGCCCCGGCUAACUACGUGCCAGCAGCCGCGGUAAUACGGAGGGGGCAAGCGUUAUCCGGAUUUACUGGGUGUAAAGGGAGCGUAGACGGCAGCGCAAGUCUGGAGUGAAAUGCCGGGGCCCAACCCCGGAACUGCUUUGGAAACUGUGCAGCUGGAGUGCAGGAGAGGUAAGCGGAAUUCCUAGUGUAGCGGUGAAAUGCGUAGAUAUUAGGAGGAACACCAGUGGCGAAGGCAGCUUACUGGACUGUAACUGACGUUGAGGCUCGAAAGCGUGGGGAGCAAACAGGAUUAGAUACCCGAGUAGUC
rnacentral:rRNA from 1 species